UGCGGAAGGAUCAUUACCGAGUGCGGGUCCUUUGGGCCCAACCUCCCAUCCGUGUCUAUUGUACCCUGUUGCUUCGGCGGGCCCGCCGCUUGUCGGCCGCCGGGGGGGCGCCUCUGCCCCCCGGGCCCGUGCCCGCCGGAGACCCCAACACGAACCCUGUCUGAAAGCGUGCAGUCUGAGUCGAUUGUUUGCAAUCAGUUAAAACUUUCAACAAUGGAUCUCUUGGUUCCGGCAUCGAUGAAGAACGCAGCGAAAUGCGAUAACUAAUGUGAAUUGCAGAAUUCAGUGAAUCAUCGAGUCUUUGAACGCACAUUGCGCCCCCUGGUAUUCCGGGGGGCAUGCCUGUCCGAGCGUCAUUGCUGCCCUCAAGCCCGGCUUGUGUGUUGGGUCGCCGUCCCCUCUCUCCGGGGGGACGGGCCCGAAAGGCAGCGGCGGCACCGCGUCCGAUCCUCGAGCGUAUGGGGCUUUGUCACAUGCUCUGUAGGAUUGGCCGGCGCCUGCCGACGUUUUCCAACCAUUCUUUCCAGUGAACCUCGAGUCAGUUAGGAUACCC
rnacentral:rRNA from 1 species